rnacentral:sRNA from 1 species
GGCGCUGGGAAGGCGGGGUAGCGGCGGCUGUCGUCUGGUCGCCUGGCGCUGGGUGAGGCUGUUUGUAGACUCCGCCCGGCUUCACCUUCUCAGGGUAGAGAAAGAUUUCCUGAAAAUGACAGCCUGCCAAUCUCCAAGCAAGAUCAUAUCCCCUGUGCUGGUUGGGUUUGUGUGUCAACAAGCUGGAGUUAUCACAGAAAAAGGAGCCUCCCUUGUGGAGAUGCUUCCAUGAGAUCCAAUUGUAAGGCAUUUUCUCAAUUAGUGAUCAAGGGUGGGAGGGCCCGGCCCUUUGUGGGUGGUGCCAUUCCUGGGAUGGUAGUCCUGGAUUCUAUAGGAAAGCAAGCUGAGCAAGCCAGGGGAAGCAAGCCAGUAACAUUCCUCUGUGGGCUUUGCUCCUGCUUCCUGACCUGCUUGAGUUCCUGUCCUGACUUCCUUUGGUGAUGAAUAGCAAUGUGGAAAUGUAAGCUAAAUAAACCCUUUCCUCCCC